rnacentral:rRNA from 1 species
UAAUACGUAGGAGGCGAGCGUUAUCCGGAUUUACUGGGCGUAAAGAGGGCGCGGGCGGCCCUCUAAGUCAGGUGUGAAAUCCCCCGGCUUAACCGGGGGAGGUCAUUUGAUACUGGAGGGCUUGAGGACAGCAGAGGGAGGUGGAAUUCCCGGUGUAGCGGUGAUAUGCGUAGAUAUCGGGAGGAACACCAGUGGCGAAGGCGGCCUCCUGGGCUGUUUCUGACGCUGAGGCCCGAAAGCGUGGGGAGCGAACCGGAUUAGAUACCCGGGUAGUCCACGCCCUAAACGUUGGGCACUAGGUCUGGGGGGUAUCGACCCUCUCCGGGCCGAAGCUAACGCUCUAAGUGCCCCGCCUGGGGACUACGGCCGCAAGGUUA